UACGUAGGGUGCAAGCGUUGUCCGGAAUUAUUGGGCGUAAAGAGCUCGUAGGCGGUCUGUCGCGUCGGCUGUGAAAUCCCGAGGCUCAACCUCGGGUCUGCAGUCGAUACGGGCAAACUGGAGUGUUGCAGGGGAGACUGGAAUUCCUGGUGUAGCGGUGAAAUGCGCAGAUAUCAGGAGGAACACCGGUGGCGAAGGCGGGUCUCUGGGCCGAUACUGACGCUGAGGAGCGAAAGCGUGGGGAGCGAACAGG
rnacentral:rRNA from 1 species